GGAUACGUGCCUGAACCAUAAGGGUCACCUUGAUAGGGUGAACAAUAGAGGUCAAAAUCCUCUCGUCUCCU
rnacentral:tRNA from 1 species